rnacentral:rRNA from 1 species
AUUGAACGCUGGCGGCAGGCCUAACACAUGCAAGUCGAGCGAGCGGCGGACGGGUGAGUAAUGCAUGGGGAUCUGCCCGAUAGAGGGGGAUAACUACUGGAAACGGUGGCUAAUACCGCAUACUAUAGGAUGAACCCAAAUGGGAUUAGCUAGUUGGUGGGGUAAAGGCUCACCUAGGCGACGAUCUCUAGCUGGUCUGAGAGGAUUAUCAGCCACACUGGGACUGAGACACGGCCCAGCCUCCUACGGGAGGCAGCAGUGGGGAAUAUUGCGCAAUGGGCGCAAGCCUGAUGCAGCCAUGCCGCGUGUAUGAAGAAGGCCUUAGGGUUGUAAAGUUCUUUCAGCGGUGAGGCGUUACCCACAGAAGAAGCACCGGCUAACUCCGUGCCAGCAGCCGCGGUAAUUC